CAGGUUGAAGGUUGGGUAACACUAACUGGAGGACCGAACCGACUAAUGUUGAAAAAUUAGCGGAUGACUUGUGGCUGGGGGUGAAAGGCCAAUCAAACCGGGAGAUAGCUGGUUCUCCCCGAAAGCUAUUUAGGUAGCGCCUCGUGAAUUCAUCUCCGGGGGUAGAGCACUGUUUCGGCAAGGGGGUCAUCCCGACUUACCAACCCGAUGCAAACUGCGAAUACCGGAGAAUGUUAUCACGGGAGACACACGGCGGGUGCUAACGUCCGUCGUGAAGAGGGAAACAACCCAGACCGCCAGCUAAGGUCCCAAAGUCAUGGUUAAGUGGGAAACGAUGUGGGAAGGCCCAGACAGCCAGGAUGUUGGCUUAGAAGCAGCCAUCAUUUAAAGAAAGCGUAAUAGCUCACUGGUCGAGUCGGCCUGCGCGGAAGAUGUAACGGGGCUAAACCAUGCACCGAAGCUGCGGCAGCGACACUAUGUGUUGUUGGGUAGGGGAGCGUUCUGUAAGCCUGUGAAGGUGGCCUGUGAGGUAUGCUGGAGGUAUCAGAAGUGCGAAUGCUGACAUAAGUAACGAUAAAGCGGGUGAAAAGCCCGCUCGCCGGAAGACCAAGGGUUCCUGUCCAACGUUAAUCGGGGCAGGGUGAGUCGACCCCUAAGGCGAGGCCGAAAGGCGUAGUCGAUGGGAAACAGGUUAAUAUUCCUGUACUUGGUGUUACUGCGAAGGGGGGACGGAGAAGGCUAUGUUGGCCGGGCGACGGUUGUCCCGGUUUAAGCGUGUAGGCUGGUUUUCCAGGCAAAUCCGGAAAAUCAAGGCUGAGGCGUGAUGACGAGGCACUACGGUGCUGAAGCAACAAAUGCCCUGCUUCCAGGAAAAGCCUCUAAGCAUCAGGUAACAUCAAAUCGUACCCCAAACCGACACAGGUGGUCAGGUAGAGAAUACCAAGGCGCUUGAGAGAACUCGGGUGAAGGAACUAGGCAAAAUGGUGCCGUAACUUCGGGAGAAGGCACGCUGAUAUGUAGGUGAAGUCCCUCGCGGAUGGAGCUGAAAUCAGUCGAAGAUACCAGCUGGCUGCAACUGUUUAUUAAAAACACAGCACUGUGCAAACACGAAAGUGGACGUAUACGGUGUGACGCCUGCCCGGUGCCGGAAGGUUAAUUGAUGGGGUCAGCGCAAGCGAAGCUCUUGAUCGAAGCCCCGGUAAACGGCGGCCGUAACUAUAACGGUCCUAAGGUAGCGAAAUUCCUUGUCGGGUAAGUUCCGACCUGCACGAAUGGCGUAAUGAUGGCCAGGCUGUCUCCACCCGAGACUCAGUGAAAUUGAACUCGCUGUGAAGAUGCAGUGUACCCGCGGCAAGACGGAAAGACCCCGUGAACCUUUACUAUAGCUUGACACUGAACAUUGAGCCUUGAUGUGUAGGAUAGGUGGGAGGCUUUGAAGUGUGGACGCCAGUCUGCAUGGAGCCGGCCUUGAAAUACCACCCUUUAAUGUUUGAUGUUCUAACGUUGACCCGUGAUCCGGGGUUGCGGACAGUGUCUGGUGGGUAGUUUGACUGGGGCGGUCUCCUCCUAAAGAGUAACGGAGGAGCACGAAGGUUGGCUAAUCCUGGUCGGACAUCAGGAGGUUAGUGCAAUGGCAUAAGCCAGCUUGACUGCGAGCGUGACGGCGCGAGCAGGUGCGAAAGCAGGUCAUAGUGAUCCGGUGGUUCUGAAUGGAAGGGCCAUCGCUCAACGGAUAAAAGGUACUCCGGGGAUAACAGGCUGAUACCGC
rnacentral:rRNA from 1 species